UACGGAGGGGGCUAGCGUUGUUCGGAAUUACUGGGCGUAAAGCGCACGUAGGCGGGUCGUUAAGUCAGGGGUGAAAUCCUGGAGCUCAACUCCAGAACUGCCCUUGAUACUGGCGAUCUCGAGUUCGGGAGAGGUGAGUGGAACUGCGAGUGUAGAGGUGAAAUUCGUAGAUAUUCGCAAGAACACCAGUGGCGAAGGCGGCUCACUGGCCCGAUACUGACGCUGAGGUGCGAAAGCGUGGGGAGCAAACAGG
rnacentral:rRNA from 1 species